AUGGUGCUUCAGGAUGUGCAUCGUGGUUGAUGUAGUUAAAAUUCUCUCAUCACCGGGUGCACAUUCGGUCAUACCAUCAUG